rnacentral:rRNA from 1 species
CUUGACAUCCAGCGAACUUUCCAGAGAUGGAUUGGUGCCUUCGGGAACGCUGAGACAGGUGCUGCAUGGCUGUCGUCAGCUCGUGUUGUGAAAUGUUGGGUUAAGUUCCGNAACGAGCGCAACCCUUAUCCUUUGUUGCCAGCGAUUCGGUCGGGAACUCAAAGGAGACUGCCGGUGAUAAACCGGAGGAAGGUGGGGAUGACGUCAAGUCAUCAUGGCCCUUACGAGUAGGGCUACACACGUGCUACAAUGGCGCAUACAAAGAGAAGCGACCUCGCGAGAGCAAGCGGACCUCAUAAAGUGCGUCGUAGUCCGGAUCGGAGUCUGCAACUCGACUCCGUGAAGUCGGAAUCGCUAGUAAUCGUGGAUCAGAAUGCCACGGUGAAUACGUUCCCGGGCCUUGUACACACCGCCCGUCACACCAUGGGAGUGGGUUGCAAAAGAAGUAGGUAGCUUAACCUUCGGGAGGGCGCUUACCACUUUGUGAUUCAUGACUGGGGUGAAGUCGUAACAAGGUAGGCGUAGCGAG